AGCUGGGAGGACUUGGAAGCCGUGCAAUGGCAACCGUAAUGUAUAUACAGCAGCACCUGGUGCUAUAUCUUCCUAAGUUGAGCUGACGAGCUGACAAUCGAAUGGGUGCAGCGCAGCAGCAGCGUUUCAACUUGGUCACCUCUUACUAGUGAUGCAUGCUCUCACGUCAGUCAUGGACUCCUAGUCAGCCAUGUGGAUGAAUCUUCUUCACUUCUGAACCAUCAGAAAGGGGGCAUCCAGGCGGUUCGAUCAGAUAUCGGAUGGCGCAGAUUAGCCCCCGCUACUGCCGAAAGAGGAGUCAUUUUUAUAUGAUUUGGACGCCAUUCAAUGCACUGACUUUGCUGCCCGGAUGGUCUUCAGGUCUGAUGCUGACUUGCCGUAUAUGCAUGGUGCUGCUCAACUCUCAAAGCUGUGGAAGGCCUUUGUAAGUGAGAAGCUUCUGCAGAGAAAAGAACCCCCAUCGAUUUGGAAAAUACGAGUCCAUUUUUUGAGUGACGCCAAUGGAGGCAAUGCAUCGUAUUCAACACUGGUAUAGACUUGCUGUCGCAAAGAGCUGAGCGGAGUCGGAGCCGGAGCGACAUGGGCGUGAUGCACAAGUUGCGGAUGAGCAACAUGGGUGUGAUGUUACAGGUUGUGUGGAAGGAAGGGACCAUUCGGAUGCGGGAAAAGCCGUGGCUUCUCCACUCCUGUUUUGUGGCUUCACUCCAUUGCCCAUGAGUAUUCUAUAUGCCGCCGCAGCAGCAGGGAUAUGUUCAUACACUGAUCCUGAUCCAUGUAUGUAUGUAUGUACUCCUAUAGGAAUAUGUGUGUAAGGCGUACACUCAUGAGCCGUAGGUUGCGUGCUUUCUUGGAGGAAGGCGACCCGGUGCAUCACCGCGAACGAUUCCAUGCUUAA